UAGGGAAUCUUCGGCAAUGGGGGCAACCCUGACCGAGCAACGCCGCGUGAGUGAAGAAGGUUUUCGGAUCGUAAAGCUCUGUUGUAAGAGAAGAACGUGUGUGAGAGUGGAAAGUUCACACAGUGACGGUAACUUACCAGAAAGGGACGGCUAACUACGUGCCAGCAGCCGCGGUAAUACGUAGGUCCCGAGCGUUGUCCGGAUUUAUUGGGCGUAAAGCGAGCGCAGGCGGUUUAAUAAGUCUGAAGUUAAAGGCAGUGGCUUAACCAUUGUUCGCUUUGGAAACUGUUAAACUUGAGUGCAUAAGGGGAGAGUGGAAUUCCAUGUGUAGCGGUGAAAUGCGUAGAUAUAUGGAGGAACACCGGUGGCGAAAGCGGCUCUCUGGUCUGUAACUGACGCUGAGGCUCGAAAGCGUGGGGAGCAAACAGG
rnacentral:rRNA from 1 species